UCUGGCUUGUGGGACUUGGACAGCACGAUCCAGAUUCGAUAUGCCACAUUCUCGUAAGAAAAGCCUAUCUCUGGCUUUUCAUUAGACAAUUUUCAAGGACAUUACUUGCUGGAUGUCAAAGAAUUGGCUCCAUGUGCCCUGGAGAAUGACCUAAAGAUCUGUAUAUGUGAUUUGGGAGUCAUCAGCUCAGGAAUGUGUGCUUAUUUGCCAUCUGAGAACCCAUGUCUUGGUACCAAUGAUAAAUACAUUUAUGUCCCCACUCAAAAUAUGUGUCCAGAGAGACUCCAGAGAUGAUAAUGCCUUGGAAACCCUAAUUGACUCCAACAACAUGCUGUAAAGUCAAACACAAGUGGAUGUAAUAAAAGAGUGAUUUUGGAAACAUUAUGUUAGUUUGGAAAAAUGGAAAUUCAUUGCAGAGAAUAUUCUGA